CUUGAUAUGGUUCAAAUGGUGAGUUGGUUAACUCGAAUGAUUUUUGGGAUUGGUUGAUAACGAAUCACGGGGGGGAACACGAACACCCUUGUUUUAUGAAGCUUCAAACCAACUUCUAUGGAUAUUACUUGGGCUGGACUUUUUCAAAAGGGGCUUUUUCACUGCAUAAGCCUUAGGCCUCGCCAAUACCCAUUCCCUCUUUCCAUCAACUUCUAGCAAAAGCGUCUCCGCUUAAGCCCUUAAACCCUAAAAACCUCUGAAACGCAACAACUCCAUGGCACGGCUAAUCAGACCCUUAAGAAAAUGCAUUCUUUCUCCUCUGUCUUCUUCUUCUUCUUCCAAAAUCCUAGUUCAGCAAAUACCCACUUUGCAUUUUGCACAUGAAGAACAAUUCUCCCUCUUAAACCCCAAGCUCCUGCCACCACAAUGCCUUAGAACUUACAUCUCUGAAAUGCGCAAAUCGGCCUUCGAAGGCCACGUUCUCAGACUGUUACGCAAUGAGAUACAAUAUGAACUCGAUCGCUCUCCUCCUAAUCAGCCAGUCACAAAAUUCAAAUCAUUUACAGUUAACGACCGUCCUGGUGAGCAAUGGAUAAGCUUGAGGAGAAAAUUUGAAGAGAAUGAAGACAUAAAGAUUGAAGCCACCAUGUUUGAUGGAGCUGUUCCUGCUCCAAAAUCCAAAGGUGGUAGCGGCCUUGGCAAAGAAGUGCAGCUUCACAUUACCAUGAUUGUCAAUAUCUCCAAGAAGGAAGGUGGUAAUGUGUUGGAGAUUAUGUGCUCAGUUUGGCCAGAUACUAUAGAGAUCAACAAGCUAUUCGUCCGAGAGCCUGAUAACAUGCCAGCUCAGGCUUAUGUGGGUCCUGAGUUCAAGGAACUUGAUGAUGAGUUGCAAGACGCACUUUAUGAAUUCUCGGAAGCAAGGGGUAUAAACGAUGAUCUUGCUGUUUUCUUGCAUGAAUACAUGAAGAACAAAGAUAAAACUGAGUUCAUUAGAUGGAUGGAAACUGUGAAAUCAGUUAUUGAAAAGAAGUAGAGUGAUUAGUUGUGCAACAUUUUGGAUGAACUUGAUUUAUCGAUCCUAUUUGUGUUGGGUAAUGAAAUUUCAACUGGUUGCAAUUGCACAUGAUCUUGUCCACUUGUAUUUAACUGAGGGGAAGAAACUAGCACGAUUAUCUUUUCAUUUGAACUCUUUAGGCAAGUUGUUGCAUUGGGCCAUCCAAAGGAAUAAAACAGCCCUCUAGUGGUGGCACAUGAUUCUAUAUGGGUUCUAGAAUUUCUUGAAAAUGUCGUCUUCUUCUUUUUUCAGUCAACACGAGGAUCCAUUCUUACAUUGUAACCUAAACUUUCACCUGUUAACCAAGCCAAAGUGCAGUGAUUGUUCUGUCAAUAAGUAUAGCUGAAAAGAUAUAUAAAGCUUUACUUGUGGAUCUGUAGAGUGAGUUUGUUCACCAUUGUUUUUCUGUCCUACCAAGUUUUGGGUAGAUUUACUCAAUCCAAGUACUAGGUUUUUGUUAUGUGACUUUCCAGCAGUUUCAUAUCCAGUGGGAGAUUAUUGCUAUUCAAAAUUUUCUGCCUCAACUAGAGAGCAGCUCACAUCAUUAUGACAACAAUACUUGCUGCUGG